rnacentral:tRNA from 1 species
AUCAGCUUAGUAUAAAUAGUAGUGCGUGAGAUUGUAAAUUUCAAGGUGAGGUAUUUCAGUUGAGA